AACGAACGCUGGCGGCAGGCUUAACACAUGCAAGUCGAACGGGUGUCGCAAGACAUCAGUGGCAGACGGGUGAGUAACACGUGGGAACCUUCCUAGGGGUACGGAACAACUCAGGGAAACUUGAGCUAAUACCGUAUACGUCCGUGAGGAGAAAGAUUUAUCGCCCUUAGACGGGCCCGCGUCGGAUUAGCUAGUUGGUGGGGUAACGGCCUACCAAGGCGACGAUCCGUAGCUGAUCUUAGAGGAUGAUCAGCCACACUGGGACUGAGACACGGCCCAGACUCCUACGGGAGGCAGCAGUGGGGAAUCUUGGACAAUGGGCGCAAGCCUGAUCCAGCCAUGCCGCGUGAGUGAAGAAGGUCUUCGGAUUGUAAAGCUCUUUUGCCAGGGACGAUAAUGACGGUACCUGGAGAAUAAGCCCCGGCAAACUUCGUG
rnacentral:rRNA from 1 species